rnacentral:tRNA from 1 species
UAGCUCAGUGGUAGAGCACGUGCGUACCACACACGAGGUCCUGGGUUCAAUCCCAG